UAAACAAUUUUAUAACAACAAUUAAGUAAUUUGGUAAACUUCAUUUGAAUAUCUAGAUAAUAACACAAAGUAUGUCCACAGGGAGAACACAAACUAC